GAUGAACGCUAGCGACAGGCUUAACACAUGCAAGUCGAGGGGCAGCAUAGGGUAGCAAUACUCUGAUGGCGACCGGCAAACGGGUGAGUAACGCGUAUGCAACCUACCCUGUACAGGGGGAUAACCCGGAGAAAUUCGGACUAAUAUCCCGUAAUAAUAUCCGGAGGCAUCUUUGGAUAUUUAAAGUUCCGACGGUACGGGAUGGGCAUGCGUAACAUUAACUGGUUGGUAAGGUAACGGCUUACCAAGGCUAUGAUGUUUAGGGGUCCUGAGAGGGUGGUCCCCCACACUGGUACUGAGACACGGACCAGACUCCUACGGGAGGCAGCAGUGAGGAAUAUUGGUCAAUGGGCGCAAGCCUGAACCAGCCAUCCCGCGUGCAGGAAGACGGCCCUAUGGGUUGUAAACUGCUUUUCCAGGGAGAGAAACUUACGCACGUGUUGCGUGACUGACGGUACCCUGGGAAUAAGCAUCGGCUAACUCCGUG
rnacentral:rRNA from 1 species